GCCCACUGGUGCUUGCUUACAGGCCAGUUCUAUCUCCCGUGGUUUCCAGAACACGGGAGGUAGAAGGCCCCUGAGCAAGGUCUAUUCCAAUGCCUCAUUUUAUGGGGGACAGGGAGCUUCCCUGCACGGCAUCCUCCCACCUUAAGGCCAUGGAAGAUUCAGAAAGCCUGAAAAAAACUUGAGGGGAAGAGCCUUUCACAGACAACUUCCAACAGUUUGCAGUCUCUGUGUUUCCAGAAAAUUCUAUUACCUGGCCCAAGAGUAAGGGAGCCAUCUGUUUCCUGAUGUCCGUAUACUGAUUACAGGAAGGCUGCAGCGGUUAA